rnacentral:rRNA from 1 species
UACUUAGGUGGCAAGCGUUGUCCGGAUUUAUUGGGUUUAAAGGGUGCGUAGGCGGCUUAUUAAGUCAGUGGUGAAAUACUCUAGCUCAACUAGAGGGGUGCCAUUGAUACUGAUGAGCUUGAGUACAGAUGAGGUAGGCGGAAUUGACGGUGUAGCGGUGAAAUGCUUAGAUAUCGUCAAGAACACCUAUAGCGAAGGCAGCUUACUAGGCUGUAACUGACGCUAAGGCACGAAAGUGUGGGGAUCAAACAGG